rnacentral:lncRNA from 1 species
GAGGGGAAGAAAAGCUGUGUUGCUUUGGGAGAAGCGAGAGGCUGUGCUCACAGAGGACAGACGCUUUCCUGAGGUGCUUCCAGAGGAAUUUCCCUGGUGCUGAGGCUCAGGGGCCCCUCGUCUUGGUGACCACCGUGGAUUUUUCCUGCCGGGAAGGCCAGGGAGCUGCUCUCCGUGGGGAAGUGCAUGGUGUGAGUGUGCACACAGAGGUCCACGUGGCAGCUCGGAGGUGGCUGAGGACCAGCACUCCCUGCACAAGCACCUCAUCCUUCUCACAGGGACUGAGAUGCAACCCCACACCUGAGCUACCUCUGCUGGGUCAGAGCAAAACCCCGUGUCUUUCCACCCACCCAGAGGAGGGGGAACAGAUCUGGAUCUGUUUCAAAAUGUUGUGGCUAGAUCCCAGUUCCAUUUGGGAUGUAUUACUUUUUCCUGGUGCUGUGCUGAGCUGGGGGAAUUACCCCAAGAAAGAAGUUUUCUUCAGAGAUCUUUGUUUUGUUUUUUUAUAACAACCUCGUAAAGCUUCACAUUGAAAUUCGAAUUAAUUCCAUCAGAUUUAUGCUUAUUGUGGAUUAUUUUUAACACAUCCAAAAUAUGGGUAGGUCAGGUAUUUUAAGCCCUCUGCUCAAACUGGAUCAUGCUCACCUAUAUGCAGAACCUGAAAUAUUUUGAGUGUUCAUCUCACUUGAGGUAAAUCCUAAAUUUGAAGGGAGAAGCUGGACGUUAGAUGGUGAAAAUGCAAUGAAUGCCUGUUUCUACACAACUGAUAAAAGCCCUAAAUUUUGCCCCAUACAGGCCCGUGUUAUUUGAGUUGUAGCUCAUGAAGAGAAGCCUAAAACUUGCUUGAUAAUAGUAAAACUUUGACUUCAGUACUAAUGGAGGUAGCCAAUAAUGGGGACCUGUUGCCUUCAGUGCUGAGAGCCUGCUUGUACAAAUCCAUGGAAAAGGUUUUGGCAAAGGCUGUGGUGCCCAUUUCCAGCCCAGUAAAAGUCACUUUUCCUGGUUCACUGGGAAUAAAAAUAUAUCAAGCAUAGAGCUUGAGGACCUC